GCCUUUGCAACUAAGCAAAUUGAAAUUCAGUUGGAAGUAUAUCAGGGCCUUGAAUGGGCAGUUUAGCAUUUAAAACAUUAAGGCCAAGUGAAAACUGCUCAGAAAAAUCCAAAUUCUUUGACAUAUAGCAACUUUCUUUUUUUACAGUAACGCAAAUAGUUACUUUCCCUGGUAAGUAGUUACUUUUAUUAUAGAGUAAUUCAGUUACUAACCCAGUUACUUUUUGGAACAAGUAGAUAAUUACUUUUUUAAAGUAACGUUCCCAACACUGCCUAACACACACAGAGAUGUGUGGGACACUUGUUAUUUUGCACAAGCUCGAUCAGGCAUACAGUGACUCACCAGAAGGGAAAGUAUGGAAGGAAUUCAGCAGGCUCUGCAUAACCAUGUCUGGGUUAAACCCUCUGUUGUUGGCCCCGGACCCCUGCAUGCAUGGCGAUUGGUCGAGAUUGUUCAGUGAAACAGUUGUUAUUCUUCACUUAAUGGUUCUGCUGGGAAGGCCACACUACGCGCCGGACAUAUCUGGAAUAGCUUCCUGUGCGCGGUUUUGUCAAGAAGAUUAAAAAGAACAGUGGAGGGAAUCACAACAACAGGAGGCAGCGGAGGUACGGAGGCGUGCCGUCAUUCCACAACAACAGGAGGCAGUGGAGGUAUGGGGGUCUUCGGUCAUUCCACAACAACAGCUUCCUAUCGGCCCCGGUCUUUUCCUGACGUGGCGCUGGUCACGUUGUUCCCUGGGAAGAAGGUACCGUCAGGAGGACGUGGUCCGGGCCGCCCAGAAGGUUCCCACGAUCUCCUGACCUUCCUCCCAUGGAUGCUGCUUGCUCACAGCUCCAGAACAGGAAGUCUGUCCCCGAUUUCCACCAAGGGAAGUCCAAGUUGAGUUUGUAAUCACAGCCUCCAAGAAUGGCUCAGAGAAUGUUGCAAACUAAUGCUGCCAUCCAAGCGGGUUUCCCCUUUUUGGAUUUAGUUAAAUUUAUAUGAAAACAUUGCGAUUUUGACCCGAUCUAACAUCUUUAGUUGGUUUUUAAGGUUGUUAUUGUGGAAAACAUGCACUAUAUUUGACCACUUUGUGUCUUGUUUUUAUGUGUAUUUAAAUUCAAUCAAUGUAUCUAUUACGUUCCUUAGAUAAGUUUUAAUCGUCUGCUUAAAAAUAUGUAUAUAUUUAUCUCUAUGUGUGUGUCGCUAUCUCAUAACUGCUUCAGGAUAGGAGAUAAUUAUUAUAGAACCUUAACAUAUUUUCAUCAUAUCUUUUUGGGACGGUAUGAACCUGAAACCAUGAUUUGGUAUUUGUGUGUGCUUGUAUUAAAGGUACAGUGUG